rnacentral:rRNA from 1 species
GGAAUGACUCUUGACAACGGAUAUCUUGGCUCUUGCAUCGAUGAAGAACGCAGCGAAAUGCGAUACGUGGUGUGAAUUGCAGAAUCCCGUGAACCAUUGAAUUUUUGAACGCAAGUUGCGCCCGAUGCCAUUUAUAGGUUGAGGGCACGCCUGCCUGGGUGUCAUUC